GACGAACGCUGGCGGCGUGCCUAAUACAUGCAAGUAGGACGCAGUUGCGAACGGGUGAGUAACGCGUCGGUAACUGCCUAUUAGAGGGGGAUAACUAUUGGAAACGAUAGCUAAUACCGCAUACUAGUAGAUGGACCUGCGUUGUAUUAGGUAGUAGGUAGGGUAAUAGCCUACCUAGGCGACGAUACAUAGCCGACCUGAGAGGGGGGUCGGCCAAAACGGGACUGAGGAACGGGCCAGACUCCUUCGGGGGGCAGCCGUAGGGAAUCUUCGGAAAUGGGGGGAACCCGGAACGAGCAAAGCCGGGUGAGUGAAGAAGGUUUUCGGAUCGUAAAGCUAUGUUGUGAAGGAAGCGGUACUUAACCAGAAAGGGACGGCUAACUACGUGCCAGCAGCCGCGGUAAUUC
rnacentral:rRNA from 1 species